rnacentral:rRNA from 1 species
AUUCCAGCUCCAAUAGCGUAUAUUAACGUUGUUGCAGUUAAAAAGCUCGUAGUUGGAUUUGUGGUGUCGCGUGCGGCUCGGAAUAUUUUUCCGGUGCUGCGUGGCGGUGCCAUCCUUGGGUGGAWUUUGUGUGGCAUUAAGUUGUCGCGCAAGGGAUGCCCAUCGUUUACUGUGAAAAAAUUAGAGUGUUCAAAGCAGGCUUAUGCCGUUGAAUAUAUUAGCAUGGAAUAAUGAGAUAGGACCUUGGUACUAUUUUGUUGGUUUGCGCACCGAGGUAAUGAUUAAUAGGGACAGUUGGGGGUAUUCGUAUUCCAUUGUCAGAGGUGAAAUUCUUGGAUUUUUGGAAGACGAACUACUGCGAAAGCAUUUACCAAGGAUGUUUUC